rnacentral:rRNA from 1 species
UACGGAGGAUCCAAGCGUUAUCCGGAAUCAUUGGGUUUAAAGGGUCCGCAGGCGGAUCUGUAAGUCAGUGGUGAAAGUCUGCCGCUUAACGGUAGAAUUGCCAUUGAUACUGCAGGUCUAGAAUAAGUGUGAAGUGGUUAGAAUAAGUAGUGUAGCGGUGAAAUGCAUAGAUAUUACUUAGAAUACCGAUUGCGAAGGCAGAUCACUAACACUUUAUUGACGCUGAGGGACGAAAGCGUGGGUAGCGAACAGG